ACCUCACUGUGCUAGGAAGCUGCAAGCCUGAGGAGGCAAAGAGAGGAGCAGGGUGAGGAAAAUAGGCCUGGGAGGUGGGCAUGAUGCUGUGCCUGUGAGCUGGGCAUCAGUGACUUCUGAUGGUGGUACCCCACUACCAGCCCAGGGCAGCUAUUCCCCAUCCCUCUGCAGAAGCCCUGUGUAAAGGAGGAUGGCAGACAGAGAAGAACAGGGCUUUCUUUUGUGCCUGUGGAUGUCUGCAGGAGCCUCCCACAGUCUGUGUCCCCCAGGCUGGCUGGCACCUGCCAUUGCACAGUUCCCAGUUGGAUGGGUACAUCCUGCCUGGUGCCCGAGCUCAUCAGGAGCUCCUGGGUACAGUGCACCCGGAUGAGGCCAGGAGGGUUGGGAGACACAGGAGCCCCUGAAAAUGAGAGGAGGAAAAGGGAUUUGUAGUGAUUUUUAGGUGCCUGAUAGGCACUCAUUUCUAUGAGCACACAUGCUUCCUGCUUAUUCCAUGCCAGAUGUAUCCCAUCUCCUGACAGCCAUGCUCGGGACUGUAAGCUGCAGUCACAGCCUCUCCUGCAUCAGCCUGUGGCUCCCUAAUUUCUCUCCAAUUUUCAGUGCUCCUCUUAAUCUACCUGAAAAGGGCUGCUGUGAGGCUUAAUUACACUUAAUGUCUGUGCAGCACUUAAGAUGAGAGGCGUUAUGUGUGCGCUGAGUAUUGUGAACACAGUUCAGAGGUAUGCAGAGCUAUGCAUUAAUUCCCUUUGCUAUGGCAAAAAAAAACAUAAAGCCCCAGCUCCUAGUGGCCUUUGGAUGCUUGGCUCCCUGUGUCAGAGCUAUAAUGGAGAUGCACCUUCCAUCUAGAUAAUUAAAGGAUCAGGAGACCAGGAAAAUGCUGCUUGUAGGCAGAAGUUAGAGCAUAAUCAAAAUGAGCUAAAUCCUGUUUGCACAGGAUGAUGACAGAGGAAAUGUUUCUGCAUGGAAAAGAGCUCAAAGCUCCUGCUUUCAGUGGUGACAGUAAUGCAAGGUCCAGCUCUUCUCCAGAGCUGCCCAUGGUGGGUUCCCAUCAGCCAAACAGGCAUCCAGGGGGUAAAAUGUCCCCUAGCAACUGGGAGAGGGUUGAGUGGUAGAAGAGGUGCAGGCACAAUGUGCCAGGGCAUCCUCACUGCCUCAUCCUCAUGGUCUAGAGAGUUGCUCCUAUGCUUUUCCCAUUCUUCAUGUCCUGCCUUAUGCUCUGGUGCAAGCUCCUCUGCAUCCCGAACAGGGUAACACAAACUGUGCUUAUCCCUCAGCUUUAUUUUUUUCCUUUUUGUCUGUGUUCUGAGGAUCCAGGUUGAUUAAGUGUCAAAGGAAAGUCCCAGAAAGACAGAAUAUCCUCUUUAAUCCCUAACUCCAUUUUGGGGGGAUUAAGAGAAGUAAGUAAGAACUGAGGUGUGAACUGCUGCCUGGAUGCUGAUAUGCUAAAAAUUAUCAAUGACUUUGGCUUCAUUCAUUUUUACUGUGUAAGAGGCAUAAUGGAGGAAUAAUGGAAGGGGAAGGAAUUGCUGCAGGGAACAGGAUAAUUGGCACAGGAGGUGGCUCUGCCAGCACAUGUUCCAACACCAUGCUGGUGUGUGUGAGCCUGCACAAGAGGAAAGGCAGUUGCACAGCAGGAAAGCUGCCAGCUAUAGUGACAGCAUCCCAGAGACAGCAUUCAACAUGUGCAAGUAGAGGGGGAAACAGCUGCUGUAUUUAUGUGCACCUAUGGCAAAGGUGUCAGGGAGGUUUGAUGCCUUAAAGCACAGCAUUUUGCAGAGUGCAUAGCCCUGGUGCUCUGGGAUGUCGGGCUCACUGUCCCCAUAGCCAGAGCAUCAGUUCCUUUGGAUAGAUGCACCCUUGGGUUUUGCUUUCCUGCAGAAGAUAGGAGAAACAUGGGGAGGGAAUGGUAGGACUUUCCAGGCUUUUGGCAGUAGGUGUUUCAAUCAAUCCCAGCCCUCCUACACAUCCCUGAGAGGGUUGGGCAUGUCUUUUUCUUCUCCUUCCCUCUUUUGAUUUAAAAAUGAGUACUUGGAAAGCCAUGGAGUUGGUAUCCAUGCACAGCAUUAGCAGAAAGAGGAAAGCUCUGGAGACAGCACAGCUUGGAGUGCAGCAAGGGAGCAGAGGGUACAGGCUUCUGCUCCAGCUCCAGGGCACCUCCAAAAGGUCUUGUCCCUCUUCCUUGUUCAGCCUCUGGGGCACAUGCUUGUGUCUUCCCCUGUGUCAAAUCUAGUGACUGUGACUGUGCAGGGAACCAGACUGGUUUGCUGAGACACACAAAAACUAGUUGCGUAUACACAUAUAUAUUUAGAUGUUUGUAUGCAUUUUAAGAGGUUCUGCAUGCUUGGCAACAGUCACAGUUCAGUUAGAUUGAACAUACUGCAAAGUAUGAAGGGGGUUGAAAAAAAAAGGAUAAAUAUGUAAGCAAUACUGAGAGUGCAGGGUCUGAAAAUGCCCCAGGAAUGGUGUGUUGGGGCUGGAACUGUGCAUGUCCAUGGGGUCUGUGUGUGGCUGAUGGUGUGUGAUGAUGAUGCCACUGUAGCAGCCUGUCUCUGCAGCUGAACCCAGAUGCUACAGCCCCACAUAUUUAGCCCUGUGCUCAGUGUGAUUACUUUGAAUGCAAUUUGCCUUGUCACUCACCAAUUAAUGAGGACAGAAAGCCAGAAAAGGCAUGAGCUUUUCCCUCUUGCCCUGCUGCCUCCAGUGCAUGAGCCCUUUAAAACUCUUUUUGGCACUGUGGUGGGGAGGGGGUUCUAGGGACAGCCCUAGCCCCUCAGUUGGAUUCCUGGGGAGACGCUGUGCCGAGGGGCACUGCCUGUGCUCCAUGAACCUUUGUGGGACUGCUAACAAAACCCAUUGAGGUGGAGCGGUUAGUGGGGGUCUGGCAGUGGUCACACAUGGGACAGACCCCAAAUAAACACCCAGGCAGUGUGGGCUAAACCUGUGGGAUCAAGGGUGAACACAUGGAUGCACCCACUCUUGCUUUUGCAGAAACAGGGAAAAAUGAAUGGCAUCUCACAGUCAUUGCAGUUAUGCCUAUCCUGGGAUCGCACACAGGAGUGUGACUCUCCCCAUCACCUCCUUUCUGAAUGGGCUGUGGGAAUUUAAUCUUAUCUCCUUUGCUGCACUGUUUCUUUGAAGCCUUUCCCUCCUCCCUGUUUUCACAGCCAGUAACUUUCUCUCUGCCUUCCCCAGACAGGUCACCUUAUAAAAGCCUUCUUUUCCUUCCUGGCUUCGCAUUAUUACUCCCUCCCUGCUGAUCCUAUUCUUCUCUCCUCUGUGAAAGCUUCCUUCUCCCCUGCACUCUCUCACCUACUCUUUUUUCCCUCUUGAAUCAUUAUUCAUAAUUUCUGUGCAGAUGCACCCACACAUUUUGGUGUUUGUUGGGAGAGGUACAGAUAAUACAGAAGCAGUAGCAGAUGCCAAGAGCCUGGAUCCAGGAGCAGCCUCCUUCCUCUUUCCCUCAAUCACUGCCAGGUUAAAUGCAACUCCAGGAGUCUCCAGUUCUGAACCUUCACUGCAAAGAAACCCAACCUGUUCCACCCAGAGCUCCCCAUAGCUUCACCCCAACAGCUUCAUCCCCAGAAGCCUCACUUCACAGAUUUUGGAGCUCAGCGGUGAUUCAGCAGCCAAGCACAGCACCCACACAAGUCACAUCAGUCAUGCUCCUGGUACAGAGGUGAUGCUUGUGUGAGACAUAAAUAUUCCUGGGGUGGAGAAGCAGAUCUUUUCAGUUUACUUAAUUCCUAACAGCAUCUGUCUUUUCCUGCUAAUGAGGGACUAAUACUGCAAUUAAAGCCCUGCUAACUGGAAA